CCACCUAACAUCUGAAGAUGAAAUUCCCAACAAAAUUUGAAGUCAGUGAAGUUCAUGGAGAUCAAGUCCUAGUGCGACAGUGCUAUAACAUCGCACUUCAUGAUACAGAACUUCUGAAGCUUAUCCAAUAGACAGACUAGACACCCGGUAUCAGCUGUCUGAAGAACAAGAGAAGCUGAUGGAGGAACUAGAGACGAUCCCACUCAAUGAUGGC
rnacentral:lncRNA from 1 species